GUGCUUGCUUCAACAGCACAUAUACUAAAAUUGGAAUGAUACAGAGAAGACCAGCACGGACCCUGCACAAGCAUGACAUGCAAAUUCAUGAAGCGUUCCAUAUUUUA
ensembl:snRNA U6 U6 spliceosomal RNA